CAGUCGCCACGGUAAUACGUAGGUGGCAAGCGUUGUCCGGAAUUAUUGGGCGUAAAGGGCUCGCAGGCGGUUUCUUAAGUCUGAUGUGAAAGCCCCCGGCUCAACCGGGGAGGGUCAUUGGAAACUGGGAAACUUGAGUACAGAAGAGGAGAGUGGAAUUCCACGUGUAGCGGUGAAAUGCGUAGAGAUGUGGAGGAACACCAGUGGCGAAGGCGACUCUCUGGUCUGUAACUGACGCUGAGGAGCGAAAGCGUGGGGAGCGAACAGGAUUAGAUACCCCAGUAGUCCCUGUCUCUUAUAC
rnacentral:rRNA from 1 species